rnacentral:rRNA from 1 species
GUGGGGAAUAUUGGACAAUGGGCGAAAGCCUGAUCCAGCCAUGCCGCGUGUGUGAAGAAGGUCUUCGGAUUGUAAAGCACUUUAAGUUGGGAGGAAGGGCAGUAAGUUAAUACCUUGCUGUUUUGACGUUACCGACAGAAUAAGCACCGGCUAACUUCGUGCCAGCAGCCGCGGUAAUACGAAGGGUGCAAGCGUUAAUCGGAAUUACUGGGCGUAAAGCGCGCGUAGGUGGUUUUGUAAGUUGGAGGUGAAAUCCCCGGGCUCAACCUGGGAACUGCCUCCAAAACUGCAUGACUAGAGUACGGUAGAGGGUAGUGGAAUUUCCUGUGUAGCGGUGAAAUGCGUAGAUAUAGGAAGGAACACCAGUGGCGAAGGCGACUACCUGGACUGAUACUGACACUGAGGUGCGAAAGCGUGGGGAGCAAACAGGAUUAGAUACCCUUGUAGUCA